UUGACACAAUGAUGAUAGCAUAGUUCAGCAGAUUAAACAAUGACGAAGAAGAGCAAUUGUCUUUCGCUCCUAGCUGAUGUGUCAC